rnacentral:rRNA from 1 species
AUGAACGCUGGCGGCGUGCCUAAUACAUGCAAGUCGAGCGAACAGACGAGGAGCUUGCUCCUCUGACGUUAGCGGCGGACGGGUGAGUAACACGUGGAUAACCUACCUAUAAGACUGGGAUAAUUUCGGGAAACCGGAGCUAAUACCGGAUAAUAUAUUGAAUCCCUUGGUUCAAUAGUGAAAGACGGUUUUGCUUUCACUUAUAGAUGGAUCCGCGCCGCAUUAGCUAGUUGGUAAGGUAACGGCUUACCAAGGCAACGAUGCGUAGCCGACCUGAGAGGGUGAUCGGCCGCACUGGAACUGAGACACGGUCCAGACUCCUACGGGAGGCAGCAGUAGGGAAUCUUCCGCAAAGGGCGAAAGCCUGACGGAGCAACGCCGCGUGAGUGAUGAAGGUCUUCGGAUCGUAAAACUCUGUUAUUAGGGAAGAACAAAUGUGUAAGUAACUAUGCACGUCUUGACGGUACCUAAUCAGAAAGCCACGGCUAACUAAGUG